rnacentral:rRNA from 1 species
UACGUAGGGCGCAAGCGUUAUCCGGAUUUAUUGGGCGUAAAGAGCUCGUAGGCGGUUUGUCGCGUCGGCCGUGAAAUCUCCACGCUUAACGUGGAGCGUGCGGUCGAUACGGGCAGACUUGAGUUCGGUAGGGGAGACUGGAAUUCCUGGUGUAGCGGUGAAAUGCGCAGAUAUCAGGAGGAACACCGGUGGCGAAGGCGGGUCUCUGGGCCGAUACUGACGCUGAGGAGCGAAAGCGUGGGGAGCGAACAGG